UACAGAGGGGGCAAGCGCUGUUCGGAAUUACUGGGCGUAAAGGGCGCGUAGGCGGCCUGCUAAGUCGAACGUGAAAUCCCCGGGCUCAACCCGGGAACUGCGUCCGAUACUGGCAGGCUUGAAUCCGGGAGAGGGAUGCGGAAUUCCAGGUGUAGCGGUGAAAUGCGUAGAUAUCUGGAGGAACACCGGUGGCGAAGGCGGCAUCCUGGACCGGUAUUGACGCUGAGGCGCGAAAGCCAGGGGAGCAAACGGG
rnacentral:rRNA from 1 species